UUUUUGUUUUUUUAUUUGUUUACAAUGUUCCUCCAUAUUUGCAAACCCUGUGUCUGUAGAGAGAAAGAAACACAACAACUCAGAGAGAGAGGUACUUCAAUGAAAACAACAAGAGAUCAUGGCCACAUGAGAUGUUGUCCCCCCGCAACAGCAAGAGGUACAUCAGAUUCCUAUUUUGAGUCCGUCCUCAAUUCAUCUAUGUUUGUUUACUUUCUGAUCUGUUAGUUUUAUGUGAAAUAUACAUUGAUUUUGAUUUCUUUCACAUCAAUGGAUUGAAUCUGCAAUCAGAUUGUAUUUUAUGAUAUGAUUUAGUUUGUUUAAGCUAUUAGCUAAAGAAUUCUUGAGAAAUUCUAUCUCGCGGGUGAGAAGCUCUGUACAGCAAGUUAAAUUUACGUAUAAAACAGAGUCUACAAGUUUAAUUUGCUCAUUCCAUUCUCUAUGCGAGGGAUUGCUGAAAAAAAUUUUGCUCCGGCUGCCGGAGUCUCGACUCUAUAGCAGAGAGAGAGAGAGAGAGAGAGCUUAUUCUUCUGCUUCUUCACACGAUCACAGAUCCUCGUGAUCGUGCUUGAGCAUUUAUAAGAAAUGUGGAGAUCGAGAAGGAACGCAUGACUCGUGGUAGAAUACAUUGGAAUCUUAAAGGAGAUAACAAUCAAGAGGACCAGAAUCUCCCAAUGGAUGGAGGAUUAGCUGAGGUGGUACGUUUGCUGAUCGACGUGCUUAGACAUCAACAACUACGGCGAGUGCACAUACCCAUUAGAGUGUAUGUUGUUACUCAGAGAAACGUAGAUGAUGGGGCCCCAGGAACUACAGGAGCUAGCAUCGUCACUGGUAUUUUAAUAGGAUCUAUGUGUGGUUAAACAUAGUUAAUGUUAAUUUUAUUGUAAUUGAUAGUAGUAUUGCAUUAUUGUUAUUUUGGAGUAUGUCAAGUCAUUAGGGUUGGUAAAUUGUACAUUGUUUUAUUCAAACGAGUCCCUGUUUCUAGUAAUUGUGGUAGAGCAUGAGAACUCAGUUAGGAAUCUGAAUUGUUACCCUGGUGGUAAGAGUAACAAAUCUUAUUAGAAAUAUUAUUGUUCAUACCAAUGCAUAUAUAUAAUACUUCUAAGUGAUGUGAGAAAUGAUAUUUAAGGUU